UGCAUUCACUACUGUAAGUCACUCUGGAUAAGAGCGUCUGCUAAAUGACUGGGU
rfam:Salmo salar isolate Sally breed double haploid chromosome ssa06, whole genome shotgun sequence.